rnacentral:rRNA from 1 species
GCCUACGGGGCGCAGCAGUGAGGAAUAUUGGUCAAUGGGCGGGAGCCUGAACCAGCCAAGCCGCGUGAAGGAAGAAGGCGCCAAGCGUCGUAAACUUCUUUUGUCAGGGAGCAAGGUGCAGGUCGGGACCUGCUGUGAGAGUACCUGAAGAAAAAGCAUCGGCUAACUCCGUGCCAGCAGCCGCGGUAAUACGGAGGAUGCGAGCGUUAUCCGGAUUUAUUGGGUUUAAAGGGUGCGCAGGCGGAGGCACAAGUCAGCGGUAAAAUCGCGGGGCUCAACCCCGCUCCGCCGUUGAAACUGUGUCC